rnacentral:lncRNA from 1 species
GGGGGUCUCUUCCUAUAUAAAGGUAUAUACAUAUGUGCCGCUGGAAUGGUCCCUUUUUUGAUCCGUCAAAUAUAUCAAUGGGGUGCAAUUUUACCGAGGAAAUAUAUCAAUAGGUAGUAAUUGACCGAUUGUGAUAUAUCAAUGGGUCAUAAAUUUCAUAAAAUAUAUGAAUGGGUUAUGAUUUCGCUGUGAAAUAUAUGUAUAGGUAGGGAUUUCACAAUUAUUCAAUAUAUGAAUGGGGGUGUUUUUAAAAUC